rnacentral:rRNA from 1 species
AUUGAACGCUGGCGGCAGGCCUAACACAUGCAAGUCGAGCGGAUGACGGGAGCUUGCUCCUUGAUUCAGCGGCGGACGGGUGAGUAAUGCCUAGGAAUCUGCCUGGUAAUGGGGGACAACGUUUCGAAAGGAACGCUAAUACCGCAUACGUCCUACGGGAGAAAGCAGGGGACCUUCGGGCCUUGCGCUAUCAGAUGAGCCUAGGUCGGAUUAGCUAGUUGGUGGGGUAAUGGCUCACCAAGGCGACGAUCCGUAACUGGUCUGCGAGGAUGGUCAGUCACACUGGAACUGAGACACGGUCCAGACUCCUACGGGAGGCAGCAGUGGGGAAUAUUGGACAAUGGGCGAAAGCCUGAUCCAGCCAUGCCGCGUGUGUGAAGAAGGUCUUCGGAUUGUAAAGCACUUUAAGUUGGGAGGAAGGGCAGUAAGCUAAUACCUUGCUGUUUUGACGUUACCGACAGAAUAAGCACCGGCUAACUCUGUGCCAGCCGCCGCCGUAA